CCCAAUCUUUCCUCAGACCUGUUAUCUGAGAAAAGACUGCAUCAUUUCUCUCGUAUAACCAUGUUCCUUCCUGUGUAGUACAAUAUGCCUGGGUCAUGUGCUCAUAGGAUUUACUGAACUGCGCUGGAUUCCAGCUGGCUUUUCAUGGACAGAUGGAAACAAAGCCUGUGCAGAUCUCUACUUAGUAUUGGAUAUGUAAUGCAUGAUAGACGUAACAGAAAGAACUGUGCUUAUUCACCAAGGAUAAUCAGCUAGGUGUGCCAGCACACUGCCCACGACUUCCUGAACUGAUGAAACUAAAAAGACCAGCCACAGUGAUGAUAACUAACAUGUACAGAAACUUCUGCUCUGGGACUGUCUGCCUUGUAAGACAGUGUGAAAAAUACUAUGGGGCAACUAAGAAUGCCUGCUUGCGUGGCUUAUCAGCUCUCACUGAUACCUCACCUCAUCCCUCACAUAUCUGCUGUUGUUGUUCAGUAUCAGCUUUUCAUCUCGAGGUCCCUCCUAACUGA
rnacentral:lncRNA from 1 species